GCUGGAUAGCUCCGUUGGUUAGAGCAUGGUGCUGAUAAUGCCUGGGUUGCAAGUUCAAUCCCUGUUUGGGAGAGCUGCA